AGAGUUUGAUCAUGGCUCAGAUUGAACGCUGGCGGCAGGCCUAACACAUGCAAGUCGAACGGUAACAGGAAGCAGCUUGCUGCUUUGCUGACGAGUGGCGGACGGGUGAGUAAUGUCUGGGAAACUGCCUGAUGGAGGGGGAUAACUACUGGAAACGGUGGCUAAUACCGCAUAACGUCGCAAGACCAAAGAGGGGGACCUUCGGGCCUCUUGCCAUCAGAUGUGCCCAGAUGGGAUUAGCUUGUUGGUGAGGUAACGGCUCACCAAGGCGACGAUCCCUAGCUGGUCUGAGAGGAUGACCAGCCACACUGGAACUGAGACACGGUCCAGACUCCUACGGGAGGCAGCAGUGGGGAAUAUUGCACAAUGGGCGCAAGCCUGAUGCAGCCAUGCCGCGUGUAUGAAGAAGGCCUUCGGGUUGUAAAGUACUUUCAGCGGGGAGGAAGGUGUUGUGGUUAAUAACCACAGCAAUUGACGUUACCCGCAGAAGAAGCACCGGCUAACUCCGUGCCAGCAGCCGCGGUAAUACGGAGGGUGCAAGCGUUAAUCGGAAUUACUGGGCGUAAAGCGCACGCAGGCGGUCUGUCAAGUCGGAUGUGAAAUCCCCGGGCUCAACCUGGGAACUGCAUUCGAAACUGGCAGGCUUGAGUCUUGUAGAGGGGGGUAGAAUUCCAGGUGUAGCGGUGAAAUGCGUAGAGAUCUGGAGGAAUACCGGUGGCGAAGGCGGCCCCCUGGACAAAGACUGACGCUCAGGUGCGAAAGCGUGGGGAGCAAACAGGAUUAGAUACCCUGGUAGUCCACGCCGUAAACGAUGUCUACUUGGAGGUUGUGCCCUUGAGGCGUGGCUUCCGGAGCUAACGCGUUAAGUAGACCGCCUGGGGAGUACGGCCGCAAGGUUAAAACUCAAAUGAAUUGACGGGGGCCCGCACAAGCGGUGGAGCAUGUGGUUUAAUUCGAUGCAACGCGAAGAACCUUACCUGGUCUUGACAUCCACGGAAGUUUUCAGAGAUGAGAAUGUGC
rnacentral:rRNA from 1 species